rnacentral:rRNA from 1 species
GACGAACGCUGGCGGCGGGCUUAACACAUGCAAGUCGAACGGAAAGGCCCUGCUUUUGUGGGGUGCUCGAGUGGCGAACGGGUGAGUAACACGUGAGUAACCUGCCCUUGACUUUGGGAUAACUUCAGGAAACUGGGGCUAAUACCGGAGAGGAGCUCCUGCUGCAUGGGGGGGGUUGGAAAGUUUCGGCGGUUGGGGAUGGACUCGCGGCUUAUUAGCUUGUUGGUGGGGUAGUGGCUUACCAAGGCUUUGACGGGUAGCCGGCAUGAGAGGGUGACCGGCCUCAAUGGGACUGAGAUACGGCCCAGACUCCUACGGGAGGCAGCAGUGGGGAAUAUUGCACAGUGGGCGGAAGCCUGAUGCAGAAACCCCGCGUGCGGGAUGACGGCCUUCGGGUUGUAAACCGCUUUCGCCUGUGACCAAGCGUGAGUGACGGUAAUGGGUAAAGAAGCACCGGCUAACUACGUG